rnacentral:tRNA from 1 species
UGGAGGAUAGUUCAGUGGCAGAACAUGUGCUUAGCAUGUGCAAGGCCCUGGGUUCAAUCUCCAGCAUCAAA